UACGAAGGGUGCAAGCGUUAAUCGGAAUUACUGGGCGUAAAGCGUGCGCAGGCGGUUGUGUAAGUCAGAUGUGAAAUCCCCGGGCUCAACCUGGGAAUUGCAUUUGAGACUGCACGGCUAGAGUGUGUCAGAGGGGGGUAGAAUUCCACGUGUAGCAGUGAAAUGCGUAGAGAUGUGGAGGAAUACCGAUGGCGAAGGCAGCCCCCUGGGAUAACACUGACGCUCAGGCACGAAAGCGUGGGGAGCAAACAGG
rnacentral:rRNA from 1 species